rnacentral:lncRNA from 1 species
ACUACAAAAAAUGGAUCGUGGGUUCAAUGCAGUUGUUGAACAGCCUUAUAUAAUGUAAACCCUUGAAUCAAAAAGGUCGUACCUUCAAUCGUUUGAUUUGUGGGUUAAUAUUGAUUUGAAGUCUUGAAGUUGGUUUUUCGGUUAGGAUGAUGAAGAAGAAUCCUUAGGCACGAAAAGAACGUGUGACCACAUUGGGAGGUGUUUUGUAAGAUACCAUUUGAUGGCCCUUUCACAAGCUUCCCAAUUGAUACCCUUUGAUGGCCCUUUCACAAGCUUCCCAAUCGAAAGCAAACAGAAAGGGCUAAAGCUACAAGGACUCAUCUCCUAGGAUUUUGGAUGCUACAUUACUGUAAUGAUGAGCAAGCUUUGUCAUGGUAGCCAAUUUUGGUUCUUUAUUACACACAUUGACUCCUCAAAUUGGAAGCUAACAAUACUUUACAAGGUUGAGGCAGUGGCUUGUGAUUAGAGUUUUGGAAUACAUCUCUAUCUAUUAAUAAGAGGAGUGGAAUGAAUAGCGUUUGUAUACUGUGGUCAUCUCUGAUUGGUUCAUAUGGACGGUUGUAACACACAUCCUCUCUGAAGGCCUUUUGUUUAGGAUCAUGCUAAUCACACACAGCCAAAAUAAUUUUCACACCCCUAAGCGCUCCGCUUUGGCCAUAGCGCGGCGCUUAGGGCGACAAAAGGUGAUACGAGGUUUCGAAUGACUGACUGAGUGACAGACUGACAGACAUAAAGCUUCCUAGGUUUCAGUUGCCCCGU